CACGUAGUUAGCCGGGGCUUCUUGGUCAGGUACCGUCAUUUCUUUCUUCCCUGCUGAUAGAGCUUUACAUAUCGAGAUACUUCUUCACUCACGCGGCGUCGCUGGAUCAGGGUUCCCCCCAUUGUCCAAUAUUCCCCACUGCUGCCUCCCGUAGGAGUUUGGGCCGUGUCUCAGUCCCAAUGUGGCCGUCCACCCUCUCAGGCCGGCUACUGAUCGUCGCCUUGGUGGGCCGUUACCCCGCCAACAAGCUAAUCAGACGCGGGUCCAUCAUAUACCACCGGAGUUUUUCACACUGAGCCAUGCAGCUCCGUGCGCUUAUGCGGUAUUAGCACCUAUUCUAAGUGUUAUCCCCCUGUAUAUGGCAGGUUACCCACGCGUUACUCACCCGUCCGCCCACUAACGCCGCCAACAUUCCACUCUUAGCAAGCUAAUCGCUUUACAAAAAUGGUCGGCCCCGUUCGACCUUGCAUUGUGUUAAAGCCAACGCCCGUCCAGCCGUUUCCACCCCUUGACGCCAGGACUAACC
rnacentral:rRNA from 1 species